AUUGAACGCCGGCGGCAUGCCUUACACAUGCAAGUCGAACGGCAGCGGGGGAGAAGCUUGCUUUUCCUGCCGGCGAGUGGCGAACGGGUGAGUAAUACAUCGGAACGUGCCCUGUAGUGGGGGAUAACUAGUCGAAAGAUUAGCUAAUACCGCAUACGACCUGAGGGCGAAAGUGGGGGACCGCAAGGCCUCAUGCUAUAGGAGCGGCCGAUGUCUGAUUAGCUAGUUGGUGGGGUAAAGGCCUACCAAGGCGACGAUCAGUAGCUGGUCUGAGAGGACGAUCAGCCACACUGGGACUGAGACACGGCCCAGACUCCUACGGGAGGCAGCAGUGGGGAAUUUUGGACAAUGGGCGAAAGCCUGAUCCAGCAAUGCCGCGUGUGUGAAGAAGGCCUUCGGGUUGUAAAGCACUUUUGUCCGGAAAGGAAUGGCUCUGGUUAAUACCUGGGGUCGAUGACGGUACCGGAAAAAUAAGGACCGGCUAACUACGUGCCAGCAGCCGCAGUAACAC
rnacentral:rRNA from 1 species